rnacentral:rRNA from 1 species
ACUCAAAUGAAUAGACGGGGAGGCGCACAAGCAGUGGAGCGUGUGGUUUAAUUCGAUACAAAGCGAAAAACCUCACCAGGGUUUGACAUGUACUUGCUAAUCCCAAGAAACUGGGACUCCUUCGAGGGUAGUACACAGAUGCUGCAUGGCUGUCGUCAGCUCGUGGCGUGAGCUGUACCGUUAAGUCGGGAAACGAGCGCAACCCGCACCGUAUGUUAAAUAUUCAUGCGGAACUGCCUCUAUUUUAGAGGAGGAAGGCGCGGAUGACGUCAAGUCAGCACGGCUCUUACACCCUGGGCUACACACACCCUACAAUGGGCAGAAACAACGAGUCGCAAGCGGGUAACCGCAAGCUAACCUCUUAAAACUGUCCUCAGUUCAGAUUGAGGUCUGCAACUCGACCUCAUGAAGUCGGAAUUGCUAGUAAUCGCGAAUCAGCAGGUCGCGGUGAAUACGUUCUCGCCUCUUGUACACACCGCCCGU